GCGCGAAAACUUUACAAUGCGAGAAAUCGUGAUAAGGGAACCCCGAGUGCCCGUAAAUCCGGGCUGUCCAUCAGUGUAAAAACUGGUGAAGAAAGGGCCGGGCAAGACCGGUGCCAGCCGCCGCGGUAAUACCGGCGGCUCGAGUGGUGGCCGCUAUUACUGGGCUUAAAGCGUUCGUAGCUGGGUUGUUAAGUCUCCUGGGAAAUCCACCGGCUCAACCGAUGGGCGUUCAGGAGAUACUGGCAACCUAGGGACCGGGAGAGGUGAGGGGUACUCCAGGGGUAGGAGUGAAAUCCUGUAAUCCUUGGGGGACCACCUGUGGCGAAGGCGUCUCACUAGAACGGCUCCGACAGUGAGGAACGAAAGCUGGGGGAGCAAACCGGAUUAGAUACCCGGGUAGUCCCAGCUGUAAACGAUGCGCGUUAGGUGUAUCGGUGACCACGAGUCACCGAGGUGCCGAAGAGAAAUCGUGAAACGUGCCGCCUGGGAAGUACGGUCGCAAGGCUGAAACUUAAAGGAAUUGGCGGGGGAGCACCACAACAGGUGGAGCCUGCGGUUU
rnacentral:rRNA from 1 species